UACAGAGGUCCCAAGCGUUUGUUCGGAUUUACUGGGCGUAAAGGGUGCGUAGGUGGCAUGUUAAGUUUGAUGUGAAAGCUCAGGGCUCAACCCUGAAAUGGCAUUGAAUACUAGCGUGCUGGAGGUUUGGAGGGGGGACUGGAAUUCUUGGUGUAGCAGUGAAAUGCGUAGAUAUCAAGAGGAACACCAGUGGCGAAGGCGAGUCCCUGGACAACACCUGACACUGAGGCACGAAAGCCGGGGGGAGCAAACAGG
rnacentral:rRNA from 1 species